rnacentral:rRNA from 1 species
GCAGGCGCAUUCGAUUGCACUGCGGAGGCUCGCUUUAUUGAGGGCAUUCGGAACUUGGCGGAAAUGGGAAUUCUGUUUCGGGGGAAAUAUGGUUGCUAAAGGGAAAAUUAAGGGAUUGUUAGUGGGGGCCCCCUCUGGAGGAGACCGCGGCUUUAAUUGGCUCUUUACCGGAAAACUCUCCCCGGCCCGACACCCUGAAGAUUGACACAUAGAGAGAUCUUUCUUGAUUCUGUGGGUGGGGGGGCGUGGGCCUUCUUAUUUGGGGGAGCGAUUUGUCUGGGUUAUUCCCAUAACGAAAAAGACUCUGGCCCCCUAAAUAUAGACAGGAUUAUUACUGUCCUGGAUACUUCUUACAGGGACAAGUGGUUUUCAGCCACACGGAAUUGAGCAAUAACAGGUCUGUGAUGCCCUUACAUGUCCGGGGCUGCACGCGCGCUACACUGAAGGAAUCAGCGUGCUAUAACCAUUGUCGAAAGGCAUUGGUAAACCCAUUAAAAUCCUACGUGAUUGGGAUCGGGAAUUGCAAUUAUUUCCCUUGAACGAGGAAUUCCCAGUAAGUGUGGGUCAUAAGCUCGCGUUGAUUACGUCCCUGCCCUUUGUACACACCGCCCGUCGCUGCCCGGGACUGAGCCGUUUCGAGAAAAGCGGGGACUGCUGCUGUCGGGGCUUUCGCGCCUUGGCUUCGGUGGAACCGCUUUAAUCGCAGUGGCUUGACCGGUCAAAGUCGUACAAGUUUCCGUAUGUGAUCCUGCAGAUGAUC